CUGCGGUCGAGCAGCCCAUUCUGUAGAUUUUUUCUGAAGGCCCAUCGUCGAUCCACCCGGUCAACACACAGAAACGGGUCGUUGCGAUAGAAAGAAGAAGGGGAUCCGGCACUGCACGAGAGGCGAGAGGUCGAUGCGGACGGUAGCUGCGAGAGAAAGAGGAGGGAUGGAUCGACCGGUCAUGGCGACGGUGCUCCCUAUAGGCUGGCCGACCUCCUUCUGUUCGCCGCCCCUCCGAACGGCAGCAUCAUCGAGCAUCCCCCAACUUCCGUUCGUCGUAAUCCUCCCAACGACAGUAGAGGUAUGAUCCAAUUCAUCCUCCACUGCUGCCUGUAAUCCAACAUCCAUUGUCAAGACGGCAGAUGAAUUUGUACCACAUCGAAUCUGCCUCAAACAAUUGUGAUUCACCAGCGACGCUGCACCAACGAAAGAACUAUGAAGGAUUGGUGGCAGAGUUGUUUACCUGCUCCACACGAUUCAAUUUUUUUGAGGGUCACCCCUGCGCCCACUUAACAGGUAAGUAACUCAGUAUGCUUUUAUAUCCUACCCUAGAUAAUCUUUACUCAUAUAAAUUCAGGACAGUCUAUAAUACUCUGCCCAGAAGGUUGAUGCUUGCCCAAAAAUUUUGUAAGGCAGAUUCGUGGCAUGUGCAUUGCAUGUCUAGGUAAAUUGGGAUGGACUAAUCUUGAUUUCUUCCAUCAAUUUUAUUACUAUAGUAGAAAAAUGGUCCUGGUGCACAUUGUGGACAACUGAUAUAGUUGAUCUUUGGUAACAUUUGCUUCUUUCAUAUUUUACAUACUCAUAUAAUUUUGUGAGAUAUGAGCCGGUAGAGAAAAUAGAACGAGAUAUUCUGGUCUUGCCUACAAAUGCUUCGUUAUUUGAGACCUCGAGCGAUGGCUCCCCACCCUAUACCGUGAUCUUGAGGGGCGUGUGGUGGUGUCCACCGCGACACGUCACUUUGCCCGAGGUGGCACCACUGAACCGGCUUCCCCGGCGGCGUUGACGGCCUCCCUUCGCACCUACAGUUUCCAUCUCUUGGAGGAGGCCGGCAUCCUCGGAUGCGGAUUGUGAUGCUUUUGCUCUGGAGAAUUUCAUUGAAGCUGGCAGCACCCUGAAACUUGUUACUUUUUGUGAAACUACAACAACCUUCCUUGCCUCUUGAAAUUCUUCUAAAGCGGCGCUGCCAAGGUAGCCACUAACGCAUCUUGCUUUUGUAAAGCUUCAUUGUAACUUCUAUCAGCCAUAAAUUGUUAGUAACGAUGAAAUAGAAAGGUGGAACAAUAAACUCAUUUCCUGAUGUGAGAUGUUAUGUAUUGGUUUGAAGAUUAAUUUCGGCUACCUAUGUUCCAUGCCAUGUGACGUUAAUAGUUUGAUAUACUAUUCAAAUGACCCAUGGUCUUUUGCUUUCUACUCUUAAAUUGACUUUUUGACAAAACAAACAAUGUUAAUAGGAAUUUAUGAUUUCAUUUUGUGUGUAGUUUUUUUUAUAUCAGAAAGAACGAUUAUGUCACUAAAGUACAUUGCUUACAGUAUAUAAAUGGACCUUUGAUUCUCUGCGUAUUAAGUACUAUAAAACUUCGCUACCUAACAAAUUAUUUGCGUUCCUAUGGCUGUGAUGUUGUGGUACAUUUGGGAUGCUUGUAACUCUCAGAAACAAUGAUGAUUCUCCUCACCCACGGAACAUUAUCAUGAAGAUUAUAGCCAUGAAAAUUAAAGCAUAUGCUGAUCUCAUUCUUUUGCAUCUCUACAAUCCGGCACCUGUGUAUAGGUGUGAAACCAAUGCUUCAAGUAUAUGUGCUCAAUCAGUGGUUAUCUAGCUCUAUUUACCAAGGACAUUGUUGUGUAUGUUGUCAUAUCAAGACAAAUUUUUAUUUGUGAACUUUGCUUUUGCUAAAUAUGUAUAUGCGAUUUCCCUUGAUUACUGACUAAUGUAAGGUUAUGUUUGUGCAAGUAUAAUAUGUUUCAUGUGGCUAUAUAUUCGUGAAAAUU
rnacentral:rRNA from 1 species